rnacentral:rRNA from 1 species
UACGUAGGGUGCAAGCGUUACUCGGAAUUACUGGGCGUAAAGCGUGCGUAGGUGGUGAGUUAAGUCUGUCGUGAAAGCCCCGGGCUCAACCUGGGAAUGGCGAUGGAUACUGGCUCGCUAGAGUGCGGUAGAGGAGAGUGGAAUUCCCGGUGUAGCAGUGAAAUGCGUAGAUAUUGCUCGGAAGGCCGGAGCCGAAGGGGCCCCACUGGUACGCAACUGACGCUGAGGCACGAAAGCGUGGGGAGCAAACAGG